UAAGUCUUAGGUUAAUAAGACCAGUUGACUGUUAAUCAAUUAGUACAUAAAUUUAUGUAGGCUUAG